GUGCUUGCUUUGGCAGCACAUAUACUAAAAUCAGAAUGAUAUGGAGAAGAUUAGCAUGACCCCUGUGCAAGGAUGACACACAAAUUUGUGAAGUGUUCCAUAUUAUU